GACGUAGGGUGCGAGCGUUGUCCGGAUUUAUUGGGCGUAAAGAGCUCGUAGGCGGCUCGUCGCGUCGACCGUGAAAACCCGCAGCUUAACUGCGGGCUUGCGGUUGAUACGGGCGGGCUAGAGUUCGGUAGGGGAGACUGGAAUUCCUGGUGUAGCGGUGAAAUGCGCAGAUAUCAGGAGGAACACCGGUGGCGAAGGCGGGUCUCUGGGCCGAUACUGACGCUGAGGAGCGAAGGCGUGGGGAGCGAACAGG
rnacentral:rRNA from 1 species